GACGAACGCUGGCGGCGUGCUUAACACAUGCAAGUCGAACGGAAAGGCCCUGCUUUUGUGGGGUGCUCGAGUGGCGAACGGGUGAGUAACACGUGAGUAACCUGCCCUUGACUUUGGGAUAACUUCAGGAAACUGGGGCUAAUACCGGAUAGGAGCUCCUGCUGCAUGGUGGGGGUUGGAAAGUUUCGGCGGCUGGGGAUGGACUCGCGGCUUAUCAGCUUGUUGGUGGGGUAGUGGCUUACCAAGGCUUUGACGGGUAGCCGGCCUGAGAGGGUGACCGGCCACAUUGGGACUGAGAUACGGCCCAGACUCCUACGGGAGGCAGCAGUGGGGAAUAUUGCGCAAUGGGCGGAAGCCUGAUGCAGCAACGCCGCGUGCGGGAUGACGGCCUUCGGGUUGUAAACCGCUUUCGCCUGUGACGAAGCGUGAGUGACGGUAAUGGGUAAAGAAGCACCGGCUAACUACGUG
rnacentral:rRNA from 1 species